rnacentral:tRNA from 1 species
UCCUUGUAGCUCAGGUGGUAAAGAAUCUGCCUGCAAUGCAGGAGACCCAGGUUCAAUCCCUGGGUCAGGAA